rnacentral:rRNA from 1 species
UGGGCAACCUGCCCUCAGCUCUGGGAUAACUCCAAGAAAUUGGGGCUAAUACCGGAUAUGACUCCUCAUCGCAUGGGUGGGGGGUGGAAAGCUUUAUUGUGGUUUUGGAUGGACUCGCGGCCUAUCAGCUUGUUGGUGAGGUAAUGGCUCACCAAGGCGACGAUCAGUAGCUGGUCUGAGAGGAUGAUCAGCCACACUGGAACUGAGACACGGUCAGA